GAAAGGUCCCACCAGGCAGGCUUACUUAUAAGCCCCAGCUCCUCCCGGAGGAAUGGAGCCCCCGGCGUCCUUGGCCCCGGAGCACCUGCGUCAGCUGACCUCUGGGAGCGGAGCCAGCUCCGGGAGAGGCCAGGGAGUCGUCACUCUGAGCUGCAGCCAUGCUGUUAGGGUGCUUGCCGUAUCAGCUUGCCACUGUACCGCUGUUUACUCAUGUUUUCUUUGAAUCGGUUUACUGUUUGCUUAAUAAGCUUAUUUUAAAAGGAAUGUUUCUUGUAUCACCUCUGUAAAUGGAAAACCAGUAUCAUUUGCCAUAAAUAGAAGGUCAAAUAAAUACACGUAAACAAAGACA